GGGGAAUUUUGGACAAUGGGCGAAAGCCUGAUCCAGCCAUGCCGCGUGAGUGAAGAAGGCCUUCGGGUUGUAAAGCUCUUUUAGUCGGAAAGAAAGAGUUGCAAUGAAUAAUUGUGAUUUAUGACGGUACCGACAGAAAAAGCACCGGCUAACUACGUGCCAGCAGCCGCGGUAAUACGUAGGGUGCGAGCGUUAAUCGGAAUUACUGGGCGUAAAGGGUGCGCAGGCGGUCUUGCAAGUCAGAUGUGAAAGCCCCGGGCUUAACCUGGGAACUGCGUUUGUGACUGCAAGGCUGGAGUACGGCAGAGGGGGGUGGAAUUCCACGUGUAGCAGUGAAAUGCGUAGAGAUGUGGAGGAACACCGAUGGCGAAGGCAGCCCCCUGGGCCUGUACUGACGCUCAUGCACGAAAGCGUGGGGAGCAAACA
rnacentral:rRNA from 1 species